rnacentral:rRNA from 1 species
CCUACGGGGUGCAGCAGUGAGGAAUAUUGCACAAUGGGGGAAACCCUGAUGCAGCGACGCCGCGUGAGUGAAGAAGGAAUUCGUUAUGUAAAGCUCUAUCAGCAGGGAAGAAAAUGUCAGUACCUGAGUAAGACUCCCCGUCUAACUACGUUCCAGCUGCGCCGGUAAUACGAAGGGGGCAGGCGUUAUCCGGAUUUACUGGGUGUAAAGGGAGCGUAGACGGCAGUACGAGUGUGGAGUGAAAGGCGGGGGCUCAACCCCCGAACUGCUCUGGAAACUGUACGGCUAGAGUGCAGGAGAGGUAAGCGGAAUGUCUAGUGUAGCGGUGAAAUGCGUAGAUAUUAGGAGGAACACCAGUGGCGAAGGCGGCUUACUGGACUGUAACUGACGUUGAGGCUCGAAAGCGUGGGGAGCAAACAGGAUUAGAUACCCUUGUAGUC